CCUACGGGCGGCAGCAGUGGGGAAUAUUGGACAAUGGGCGAAAGCCUGAUCCAGCCAUGCCGCGUGUGUGAAGAAGGCCUUCGGGUUGUAAAGCACUUUCAGUGGGGAAGAAAGCCUUGGGGCUAAUACCCUCGAGGAAGGACAUCACCCACAGAAGAAGCACCGGCUAACUCCGUGCCAGCAGCCGCGGUAAUACGGAGGGUGCGAGCGUUAAUCGGAAUUACUGGGCGUAAAGCGCGCGUAGGCGGUCUGAUAAGCCGGUUGUGAAAGCCCCGGGCUCAACCUGGGAACGGCAUCCGGAACUGUCAGGCUAGAGUGCAGGAGAGGAAGGUAGAAUUCCCGGUGUAGCGGUGAAAUGCGUAGAGAUCGGGAGGAAUACCAGUGGCGAAGGCGGCCUUCUGGACUGACACUGACGCUGAGGUGUGAAAGCGUGGGUAGCAAACAGGAUUAGAUACCCGUGUAGUC
rnacentral:rRNA from 1 species